GAGUUUGAUUAUGGCUCAGAUUGAACGCUGGCGGGAUGCUUUACACAUGCAAGUCGAACGGCAGCACGGACUUCGGUCUGGUGGCGAGUGGCGAACGGGUGAGUAAUGUAUUUGAACGUGUUUGCGUAGUUGGGGGAUACUACGCGCGAAAGCGUAGCUAAUACCGCAUACACACUCUCGGGGAAAGUUGGGGAUCUUUUCGGCUCGCACUAUUAGAGCGGCUGAUAUCGGAUUAGCAGGGUUGGUGGGGUAACGCUCACUCGGCGACGAUCCGUGGCUGGUUUGAGGACGACCAGCCACACUGGGACUGAGACACGGCCCAGACUCCUACGGGAGGCAGCAGGGAAUUUUGGACAAUGGGGGAAACCCUGAUCCAGCCAUCCCGCGUGUGCGAUGAAGGCCUCGGGUUGUAAAGCACUUUUGGCAGGAAGAAACGGCACGGGAUAAUUCUGUGCACACGCAGUACCUGCAGAAUAAGCACCGGCUAACUACGUGCCAGCAGCCGCGGUAAUGAAAAGGCAAUCGUGGAAUUACUGGGCGUAAAAGCGUGCGAAAAGGUCUUAAAAGAAAGAUGUGAAAUCCCAGAGCGUAACUUGAAUCAAAAUUUUUAAUCUACCGAGCUAGAGUGUCAGAGGGAGGUGGAAUUCCGCGUGUAGCAGUGAAAUGCGUAGAUAUGCGGAGGAACACCGAUGGCGAAGGCAGCCUGGGAUAACACUGACGCUCAUGCACGAAAGCGUGGAGCAAACAGAUUAUAGAUACCUUAGAACGUUUGCAAACGAUGUCAACCACGGUUAGCCUUCGGGCCCGGCAGCUAACGCGUGAAGUUGACCGCCUGGGGAGUACGGUCGCAAGAUUAAAACUCAAAGGAAUUGACGUAGAAUCUCGCACGCCGUGAUGAUGUGGAUGAAUUGAUGCAACGAAAAACCUUACCUACCCUUGACAUGUCUGGAAACCUGAAGAUUUGGAGUGCUCGCAAGAGAACUGGAACACAGGUGCUGCAUGGCCAAACAGCCAAGUCAUGUUAGAUGCUGCUGUUGGUCCAAGGCAACGAGCGCAACCCGUUGCUGGAUAACAGUGCGACUGACGAGACUGCCGAUAAACGAAGGUGGGAUGAUCGUCAAGUCCUCAUGGCCCCAGGGUAGGGCUUGCCAUCAUACAAUGGUUGGGACAGAGUGGUCGCCAACCCGCGAGGGGGAGCCAAUCCCAGAAACCCGAUCGUAGUCCGAUCGCAGUCUGCAACUCGACUGCGUGAAGUCGGAAUCGCUAGUAAUCGCGGAUCAGCAUGUCGCGGUGAAUACGUUCCCGGUCUUGAACGUUCGUCACACCCGUAGGGAGUGGGUUUCACCAGAAGACAGUUAAUUAACCGUAAGGAGGGCGAUUACCACGGUAGGAUUCAGGAUUGGGGUGAAGUCGUAAUUAGCGUAACCUCAGACAUACUGAUGUUUCCUCAGGAGCAGACACGUACGAAC
rnacentral:rRNA from 1 species